UUGCUUCUCUUGAGAGCGGCGGACGGGUGAGUAAUGCCUAGGAAUCUGCCUGGUAGUGGGGGAUAACGUUCGGAAACGGACGCUAAUACCGCAUACGUCCUACGGGAGAAAGCAGGGGACCUUCGGGCCUUGCGCUAUCAGAUGAGCCUAGGUCGGAUUAGCUAGUUGGUGGGGUAAUGGCUCACCAAGGCGACGAUCCGUAACUGGUCUGAGAGGAUGAUCAGUCACACUGGAACUGAGACACGGUCCAGACUCCUACGGGAGGCAGCAGUGGGGAAUAUUGGACAAUGGGCGAAAGCCUGAUCCAGCCAUGCCGCGUGUGUGAAGAAGGUCUUCGGAUUGUAAAGCACUUUAAGUUGGGAGGAAGGGCCGUUACCUAAUACGUGAUGGUUUUGACGUUACCGACAGAAUAAGCACCGGGCUAACUCUGUGCCAGCAGCCGCGGUAUACGAGGGUGCAAGCGUUAUCGGAUUACUGGGCGUAAAGCGCGCG
rnacentral:rRNA from 1 species